rnacentral:lncRNA from 1 species
CAUGAAUCAUCUCAUUAGCAUAUAAGACAGCAAGUUCCAAGGGUUCUGAGGAUCUGUCAGGCACUGGGGACGAAAACCACAUAUUUAUUCCGUAUGUUCCCACAACAGGUUAACUGUAGGCCCUACAUGUCCUGGGCUGAAGGGGAAGAUUUUUUGAGUCAGGAGACAAGAGCCCACCAGCACAAGAAUCCAGCAGAGAAGGCAGGAAGCCAGCCCACCAGGCCAGUCUUCUCAGCCGUGGGCACAAAGACGAAGGGACUGCGGACUCGGCUCAUACAUUUCCUGCUUUUGGUGGUGAGAGCGCAUGCAUCUUUUAUAAUAUGCUCAUGCCAUGGAAUCAACCUGCAAGGAAGAAUUUAUUAAUGAGCCUGUUUAGGGAUUUUUUUCAAAUGGAAGACCUUACAGGAAUGCAGGGCUUUACAAGGAUAAAAUAAGACUCAAAGUCUGAUGCGGAAGCCAGAAAAAUUAUCAUUUUCCAACUCCCAACACCCUUCCAUCUCUCCAAAUUUUCAGCCCGAGUCAGUUCCCAGCAAAGAGUAAUGGGUCUGAGCUGAUCAGAUGACAACGGAAGCAGGUGUGUUUCCCGGUGGCUGACCGCAUGCAUCGAGCUGGGCUCAUCGUGGUCAACAGCACCGUCCCUGAAGCUGACGGCCUGGCUGUGGUCCCGGCUUUGCUACUUACCAGCUGUGGAACUUCUGGCAACUUUCUUCACCCCUUCUGCCUCCAUUUCUGCUUCUGUCAAAGGGGGUAAUAAUGGCAACAUUACUCAUCAUAGCCAAAAGGUGGAAACAAGCCAAGGGUCUCCUGGGGGAUGUGCAGAUAAACAAAAUGUGAUGUAUCCAUCCAACAGAGAUCAUGCAGAUUUAAAAAGAAAGGGAAUUGUAACACAUGCUACUGCAUGGAUCAACCCUGAAGACACCAUCCUAGGUGAAAGGAUGAAUCCUGUAUGAUUCCACUUACAUGAGGUACCUAGAGCAGUCAGAUUCAUAGAGACAGAAAGCCCAGGGGCGGUGGCCAGGGGCUGGCUGGGAGAGGAUGAGGAGUCUGUGUUCAAUGGGUAAAGUCUCAGUUUUGCACGAUGGAGGAGGUCUAGAGAUGGAUGGUGGCGGCUGCUGCGUCACAGAUGAAUGCAUUUAAUGCCACUGAACCGUGCCCUGAAAAAUGGCUAAGAUGAUAAAGUUUAUGUAUUGUGUAU